AGUUCUAUAGUGCAGUGGUCAUCACAUCUGCUUUACAUGCAGAAAAUCCUGGGUUCGACCCCCAGUGGAACCA